AAAUUGAAGAGUUUGAUCAUGGCUCAGAUUGAACGCUGGCGGCAGGCCUAACACAUGCAAGUCGAGCGGUAGCACAGGAGAGCUUGCUCUCCGGGUGACGAGCGGCGGACGGGUGAGUAAUGUCUGGGAAACUGCCUGAUGGAGGGGGAUAACUACUGGAAACGGUAGCUAAUACCGCAUAACGUCGCAAGACCAAAGAGGGGGACCUUCGGGCCUCUUGCCAUCAGAUGUGCCCAGAUGGGAUUAGCUAGUAGGUGGGGUAACGGCUCACCUAGGCGACGAUCCCUAGCUGGUCUGAGAGGAUGACCAGCCACACUGGAACUGAGACACGGUCCAGACUCCUACGGGAGGCAGCAGUGGGGAAUAUUGCACAAUGGGCGCAAGCCUGAUGCAGCCAUGCCGCGUGUAUGAAGAAGGCCUUCGGGUUGUAAAGUACUUUCAGCGGGGAGGAAGGUGUUGUGGUUAAUAACCACAGCAAUUGACGUUACCCGCAGAAGAAGCACCGGCUAACUCCGUGCCAGCAGCCGCGGUAAUACGGAGGGUGCAAGCGUUAAUCGGAAUUACUGGGCGUAAAGCGCACGCAGGCGGUCUGUCAAGUCGGAUGUGAAAUCCCCGGGCUCAACCUGGGAACUGCAUUCGAAACUGGCAGGCUAGAGUCUUGUAGAGGGGGGUAGAAUUCCAGGUGUAGCGGUGAAAUGCGUAGAGAUCUGGAGGAAUACCGGUGGCGAAGGCGGCCCCCUGGACAAAGACUGACGCUCAGGUGCGAAAGCGUGGGGAGCAAACAGGAUUAGAUACCCUGGUAGUCCACGCCGUAAACGAUGUCGACUUGGAGGUUGUGCCCUUGAGGCGUGGCUUCCGGAGCUAACGCGUUAAGUCGACCGCCUGGGGAGUACGGCCGCAAGGUUAAAACUCAAAUGAAUUGACGGGGGCCCGCACAAGCGGUGGAGCAUGUGGUUUAAUUCGAUGCAACGCGAAGAACCUUACCUACUCUUGACAUCCAGAGAACUUAGCAGAGAUGCUUUGGUGCCUUCGGGAACUCUGAGACAGGUGCUGCAUGGCUGUCGUCAGCUCGUGUUGUGAAAUGUUGGGUUAAGUCCCGCAACGAGCGCAACCCUUAUCCUUUGUUGCCAGCGGUUAGGCCGGGAAC
rnacentral:rRNA from 1 species